rnacentral:rRNA from 1 species
GACGAACGCUGGCGGCGUGCUUAACACAUGCAAGUCGAACGGUGAUGGAGAGCUUGCUCUCCGGAUCAGUGGCGAACGGGUGAGUAACACGUGAGUAACCUGCCCUGGACUCUGGGAUAAGCGUUGGAAACGACGUCUAAUACCGGAUAGGACUUCCUUCGGCAUCGGAGGGGUGGAAAGACUUCGGUUCGGGAUGGACUCGCGGCCUAUCAGCUUGUUGGUGAGGUAAUGGCUCACCAAGGCGACGACGGGUAGCCGGCCUGAGAGGGUGACCGGCCACACUGGGACUGAGACACGGCCCAGACUCCUACGGGAGGCAGCAGUGGGGAUAUUGCACAAUGGGCGCAAGCCUGAUGCAGCAACG